rnacentral:lncRNA from 12 species
AAAAAAAUUCACUCCAAGUAUGUUCUAGCAGAAAAAAAGAAGACUUAAGAUUUACAUCUUUCUGGAUAAAUUCAGAGACAUCUAGAGCUAUCGGACAGACAGGCCCAGUGAAGAUGAAUGCAGAGGCUACAAGCAAGAGCAAGAAGGGAGACUAUUUUCAAAUGUGGUCAUUAAGUAUCCUAGCCAUUCGAGAGGCAAACUGAUUCCAUGUAGGUAGCUCUACUAAUGAAGAGGGUAAGUUUGGGAAAUGAGGGGAUAUUUGAAAAUAAAAUAAUAAAAUCUUUAAUAAAGGAGCUAGUU